UUCAAUCUUUUUCAAAUCCAUCUCAUGGAUUAUCUGAGCUCAAGUUUUGCUAAAUUGAAAUACAUUGAUUCAUUAACUCCUACUAAUUCGUAGGGGUCAAUCCCAUCUUGACUCACACACUGGCUUGACAAGUACUUGACUGCACCCAAAAAUUUUUCAUCACUGAAUUAGAAACUCAGUUAGUCUGACACCAAAGUACAGUGAGUUGCUUGCAAGUCACCAUGGUGA
rnacentral:lncRNA from 1 species